AGUAACACGUGGAUAACCUACCUAUAAGACUGGGAUAACUUCGGGAAACCGGAGCUAAUACCGGAUAAUAUUUUGAACCGCAUGGUUCAAAAGUGAAAGACGGUCUUGCUGUCACUUAUAGAUGGAUUCGCGCUGCAUUAGCUAGUUGGUAAGGUAGCGGCUUACCGAGGCAACGAUGCAUAGCCGACCUGAGAGGGUGAUCGGCCACACUGGAACUGAGACACGGUCCAG
rnacentral:rRNA from 1 species